GGGCAUUACCUGAAAGUGAAAGGCUGAAAGGGGAUCGUGAAGGCAAAACAAGCGCGAGGCCAGAGAGCAAGAUGCCUAGAUCUACACGCGGCUCGGAACAACGAAGGCUCCAGUGUCUACAAGACAUCCAAAAUUUGCAAGAGGAGAUCAAGUUGUUACAGAUUUCAAACGA